UUUUACAAAAACAUCACUAGGAGAAGUUCACUCUUAGCAGUGCCUGCCCAGUGCAAAAUUGUAAACGGCCGCCCUAGCGUGAGGGUGCCAAGGUAGCGAAAUUCCUUGCCUUUUAAUUGUAGGCCUGCAUGAAUGGAUUGACGAGGGUCAAGCUGUCUCUUGCCUUGAUGACGAAAUUGGACUAAAGGUGAAGAUACCUUUAUAGAAAAGUUAGACAAGAAGACCCCGUGCAGCUUUAAAAAAGUUACUUAUUAAGAGUUGUAAGAUUUUUAGGUGGGGCGCCUAGGAAGUAAAACUUAACCUUCUUAUUUGUUAAGAAAGGCUCUCAGGCAUAGACCCGGCAAGUCCGAUCAUGGGAGAAGUUACGCCGGGGAUAACAGGCUUAUCCAUUAGUAGAGCUCGUAUUGGCUAAUGGGAUUGGCACCUCGAUGUUGAAUUAAGGAUGAUAGCUCUAAGGCGUAGAAGCUUUAGAAGUGGGUCUGUUCGACCUUUAAUACCUUACGUGAUCUGAGUCC
rnacentral:rRNA from 1 species